AUUGAACGCUGGCGGCAUGCCUUACACAUGCAAGUCGAACGGUAACAGGGAGCUUGCUCCGCUGACGAGUGGCGAACGGGUGAGUAAUGUAUCGGAACGUACCAUUCAGUGGGGGAUAACGUAGCGAAAGUUACGCUAAUACCGCAUAUUCUGUGAGCAGGAAAGCAGGGGAUCGCAAGACCUUGCGCUGAUUGAGCGGCCGAUAUCAGAUUAGCUAGUUGGUGAGGUAAAGGCUCACCAAGGCGACGAUCUGUAGCGGGUCUGAGAGGAUGAUCCGCCACACUGGAACUGAGACACGGUCCAGACUCCUACGGGAGGCAGCAGUGGGGAAUUUUGGACAAUGGGGGCAACCCUGAUCCAGCCAUGCCGCGUGAGUGAAGAAGGCCUUCGGGUUGUAAAGCUCUUUCGGCCGGGAAGAAAUCGUAUGGGUUAAUACCCUGCGCGGAUGACGGUACCGGCAUAAGAAGCACCGGCUAACUACGUGACC
rnacentral:rRNA from 1 species